rnacentral:lncRNA from 1 species
GAGCCAGAGUGACACACACCCCUCCGUGGGUAACGAACCUUUUAGACGGAAGUGCGCGUGCGCGGUUCUCCCACUGGCGGCCGUGGAAUGCUGGCGCGGCUGGGAAGAGCUGGGCUGAGCUGUGAGGCUGCUGGCGGCGAUGCGUGAGCCUGGGGCUUGGCAUCCCCUGCCAGCUGGAGUUUGCCCUGCCCUGUCACUGCAGGUGGGAGGCAGCAGGUGCACAGCUGUGCCCUGCGAGACGCCAGGGCCUGCGACUGCCGGUGCUCCGGCAGGCAGGCCUGGGCUCCCUGCUGUCAUUUGCUAUGUGACUUGGGGGUCCCUGCUGGCAGGAGUGGCUGCUGGGGGUAGUCGGGUGGUUCAGGGCCAACGGGUGGACGUCCCAGGGGCCAGAGCCUUUGUGAGCAGGACGUGAUGGCUCCUACCGCUUGGAUAGGCAGCUUUGCCCACCCUGUCCAGAAACCCGAAUCCAGAAUUUGAACCUCAGAGCUGCCCGGAUCCAGGAAUACGUCGGGGGCACUUUUACAGCUCUGGGGGCCGGCAGCCCCUCCCCCGAAACAACGCGCUGUCUGGGCUGUGGAACCAUGGUUGCAGCCAGGGCGGCUGGUCAGGGCCAGGUCUCGGCAGCUGCUCAGCGCGCAGCUGCUGCCCGGGAGGCCGGGGCCGGAGCCCAGGGACUCGGGUUUCACUUGUAUACAGUUUCAUGCAGGAGACAGGCCCGGAGUCACAGAUGGGAAGUGGGGCCCGGGCUGCCUGUGCCUGGGGCCACCCCCACCCUGCUUCCCAGGUGCAUUUCUGACCCCUCUCUGGCCCCACCCUCGGUCUACACAGCAUUUCUGACUGUCCCUGCCCUCCGUCUACACAGUGAGGGCUGCGUUUCUGUCCCUCCCUCCGUCUAUACAGUGAGGGCUGCAUUUCUGUCCCUGCCCUCCGUCUACACAGUGAGGGCUGCGUUUCUGACUUCUUGCUCCGUCUUCGGGUCUGUGCAGUACUUCUUCAUUAAACACUGUUUCCAUCCCGCCGUCAUGAACGCACUCUGCCGUGUCGGCACUCGUGUAGCUCCCGCACGCAGCACACGUAUGCGGAACUCUCAUGAACACACACAGCCCUGUCAACACGGACGGGGUGCAGUGAGGAAGUGCAAAGGCAGCCUUGAAAGCAAUCGGCAAAGACUGCACUCAGUCUCACAAACGCUGCUGUGAGCUCUCGCAGCGCUGGAACUGGGGUUGUGUGCACGGCCAGCGGGACGUGUGCGGCCUCCCGACCAGAACAAAGCGGGCUGGAGGGGCCGACCGCACAGGGACCUGCAGUGAAGGACGCACGCCGGGCUCUGGCGGUUGUAUCUCAAGAGUUCGGCUUCGGCAGCUCGCUGGUGGUGCCAGCCCCACUCCCUCUCAGGUCUGCUAGGAAAGCGGCCUCCGCCUCGUCCGGCUGGCUCUUCGCCAGAUCUGAGUGAGGGACAAUGCAGCGGAGGCCAGCGCUUGCCUGUGGGGCUGCGUUUAAGCAGGGGUCACGUCCUUCCACAUCACUGAGGGUUCUUCCCAAGGCAGAAUUCCACUCUGAUGUUUUGGCCCCUGUGAGAGGGACAAUUCUUGGAGCCUUGGGCUGACCGUCGUCACGGUCCUGACUUUCAUUGCCGACUCCAGUCCGUUCUGCCGUCUGGCCCAGGUCUUUCUUGGUGGGUUCUACUGCCCUUUCUGCCAAGACGGCCCCCACAUCUUCUUCCUUCAAGUCACUGGCGCCGUCUCCACGUAUGCGCUGUGCGGUACACACUAUGGAUUCGAUGCUGUUCUUCAUAACCUCUGUAACACCUUCAAGGCCUCGACACUGCCCGCGUUCUGGCCACACUCUCCCAGCAGUCACUGACAGAGGCCUGCUUGGUUCUGUCCCAGGCCGUGCCAACAUAACCAGCAGCACUGUGGACGCUGGCUGACCUCCAGGAGUCCCCCGUGGUGGCCCCCGCGUCGGCCUCAAGCCCUCACAAGCCGUACUGUACAGCCAUGUCGUGUGCCUUGAAAGCUUUGGUUACGCCCUGAUUGAGGGUGGAUGAGAGAUGCAGUGUAGGGAGGCGUGGAGAGAAGUAGUGAACCGGGGCGCUAUCCAAAAUUAAUAAAACCCCGAAGGCAAGAUUUCUGCCCCCGAUA